AACAAACUAACAUGUUAAAAACAAAACUAACAAUGGACAAAAUCUACACUAAAACUACUAUCCCACAUCACCACAAUUAACUAUAAGUCCAAACAAAGUCCACAUACCCAAUAUAACCGAAACCAAAGCAACACAUGAGCCUAAACGAACCUUACCACCACUAACUAAAGAAGUACCGCCGCAACCACACCCACCAUCGUAUUCGUAACAUAUUUGGGGAAAAUAUGGUUUCUAGCGAUUUACCUAUGCAUAAGAGCGAACAAAUAAAUGAAAACGACUAUAUUGGCAAAGAACAAUUGUGUGAUUUGUAUCAACCUCCGUCGAAAACGAUGUAGAUCCAAAUUUAGAGAACAUGAUCCGUGUUAGAGAGCGGGCUUUGGGAUAAUGAUUUGUUGAGAAUGCCUCAAAGUGGUGAUGGGGAACUUCAAUCAGAAUAUGACUUAGAAGAAAUCACCAUAAAGGGCUUCUUAUGCAAAACGCCUAGUGGACUUAUUUACUAACCCAAAAGAAAAAAGCGAGGAUAAAAUGAGGGAAAGAGGGGCAAUAACGCUUCUUCCUCUUCUCCCCUUCUAUGAAGUUUUUCUUUGAGACUCACAAAAAGAGAGAGCGUCUAGAGUUUUCUCCACUAAUUUAUGUGAUGUAUUGUUAAUUUCAUACUUUCUUUCAAUCAAAUAAUUAAUAAAUUCGUUUACUUAUGAUUUGGUGUUAG
rnacentral:lncRNA from 1 species